GGGGAGGGAUAAGGGAACACCAAGGUUGAUGAGUGGAGGGGGAGGGGUGGUGGGAGAGAAUGUUAGUGUGAGAAUGUUGGUGUUGCUGAUGAGAGCUUGUAAAGGAGGUGUGUGUGUCUCCUUUUAAAUCAGGUAUUUAGGGCUGCUGGCACCCUAUUCCCUUCAUAGUGCACUACUUUUGACCAGAGCUCUAUGGGGCCCUGGUCAAAAGUAGUGCACUAUGUAGGGAAUAGGGUGCCAUUUGAUGCUGUCUAAAGCAUCUACUGAACUAAUUACUCCUAGUCUUAUUUAAUUCCAGACGUAUUUUAUAUUAUAAGAUUAAAAUAGAACAUUCACAUUUUAGGAUGAAUUUAUUGUUUAUACAUUCCGACUAAUGUGUAACGAGAUUAUGAUUAUUACAACAUUUGUCAAUCAAUUUAUUUUCAUUGAAAACAUUCCGUAUUUAUUCUUAGUUUAAUAUUCUAGGUCAUUUUUUACUCUGGUAAUGUGCCAUUUCCCCCCUAAGAACCUGCGAACCCCAAACCUACAGUACAGUAUCUAACUGCCAGAGAAGUACUAGAAGUAUAGAGGUACUGUAUUUAUUUAACCUUUUUAUUUAGCAUUACGUUUGAAAGAUUCCCCUAACUUUCCCCAAAUUCCCAGGUUUUCCUUCAGAAAUCCUGGUUAGAAUAUUCCCUGAAUCUGGAAGGAAGAAACAGGGAAUCCUCCAUCUGAAAUUCUGAAAUACAAAAGGACUUUCUCAACUUUAUUGAGAGCCUUUAUUUUUUAACAAUAACAACCUGGUAUUAUCCUGUUUUAUCUUCUUAGAACCUAUUUUUUUUUAAAUCUCCUUUAAUUUCAUAGACUGAUUUUUUGUUGUUUGUGCCAUAAUGGAAGAAAUAAGAAAACAAUUGAUUCUAAAUCAGGACCGUAGUUUGUCAUAUAGUCAUGUUUGCUUGCAUUUGAUUUGUGUUGAGUGUUGACUACUACUGAAGGUGCUGAAUGUCCAGGGAUGUGUCUCAAAUGGAACGCUAUAGACUAAGUAGUGCACUACUUUUUGACUAGGGCUAUGUGGGACGUAUCCCCAAUGUCCCUUUCAUAAUAAUAAAGGCCCAGUUGAUUUGAAUGUGG